AUAUUAUUUUAAUUAUAUGCAGUUGAUUUCUACCCAAAAUGUUAGUCUUGUGUCUGUGGAUCGUGGUUAUCAUCGCUGAACAAGUACCCACAGCUGUGUCAAAUCAGCAUCAUUGUCCAGGUUAUACUGUGGUUCAAAAUUUCGGCCCAGAUGCAGAACCAACUUUGACACAAAAUCACACAAGGGGAGCACCUGGUAAAGUUGGGAAAAAGGGGCCGAAAGGAGAUAUUGGGGAGAAGGGGGCGAAGGGGGAUGCCGGCAUUACUCCACACUACAAUGAAAUCAACCUAUUGAAGCAGCAAGUUGCUCAACUUAUAAAGCGAAUAGAUAUGAUGGAUACCCCCGAAAUCCUGUGAACACCUGAAUGGAACACAAGAUGAUUCAGGGAUCAAUCAAAUUCAACCAGGGUCACGACCAUUUGCAGCAUAUUGCAGCUUUAACGGAUCAAACCGUUACACACGCAUCGGGCAUGACGCGGAAAGUGAAAUUCAAGUGACUGCAUGUGAAAACCCACUCUGCUACAGACGCGACAUUGCUUAUGAAGUUCCCAUGCCACAGAUUAUUUCUUUGAUUACCGUCUCACGACACUGUAGACAAUUUGUUAAGUAUCGGUGCUUAGGUUCGGUUUUGAACUCAUCCGGAACUCGUUAUGCCGGAUGGAAGUCACGCGAUGGAGUAAAUCGACACAACUGGGGAGGCAGCUCAAGAACUGGGUGGUGUGCCUGCGGUGAAACUGGAGAAGUGACGUCAAAAAUUCUCCAGACUCUCUUGAAUCGCCAGCCAUCGGCUCUAGUCACAGAAAUAAAAAAGAA